GACGAACGCUGGCGGCGUGCUUAACACAUGCAAGUCGAACGGAAAGGCCCUGCUUUUGUGGGGUGCUCGAGUGGCGAACGGGUGAGUAACACGUGAGUAACCUGCCCUUGACUUUGGGAUAACUUCAGGAAACUGGGGCUAAUACCGGAUAGGAGCUCCUGCUGCAUGGUGGGGGUUGGAAAGUUUCGGCGGUUGGGGAUGGACUCGCGGCUUAUCAGCUUGUUGGUGGGGUAGUGGCUUACCAAGGCUUUGACGGGUAGCCGGCCUGAGAGGGUGACCGGCCACAUUGGGACUGAGAUAGGGCGCAGACGCCUACGGGAGGCAGCAGUGGGGAAUAUUGCACAAUGGGCGGAAGCCUGAUGCAGCAACGCCGCGGGCGGGAUGACGGCCUUCGGGUUGUAAACCGCUUUCGCCUGUGACGAAGCGUGAGUGACGGUAAUGGGUAAAGAAGCACCGGCUAACUACGUG
rnacentral:rRNA from 1 species